CCGGCCUUCUGUUCCUAACACUGUGCUUUCUGCGCGACAAAAUAUAUGAGCGAAUCACAAGUGCAACAUCCGAAAUGAAGAAUCGAAAUCUGCUCUAAAUUCCUGAUACAGAAUAUCUUAAAGAUUCUCCCACGAGUCUGCAGAUGAGUCUAUAUGGUCACUAUAGGCGGAUACGGAUAAAUCGUGACAACCGCGCCAGAAUGUACACGAUAUUAGAAGGUGCGUCUUAUAGGGUGAAAAAUACAGUAACUAUCAUCUAAACAGCAUGCUACAGGCACUGCAGUAGUCACAGGUAGCUCUAUCUGACAAUCCAAAUAUCUGAGGAAAUCAAGAAACCGUCCAGAAUGUCAGACACGGAGGACGGACUCAGGCCAUCCACGUAUAGACAGACGCUCAUCUGAAUGACCAUCAUGUAAUACCACAUAUGCCCUGUAGUGGUCGCUGCAGUGGAAAUGCAUGACUGGCAGCUACCUCCCACGGCAAAAUCAUGGGGAAAAUCAUGGGGAAUGCCAGGAGUUGGACCUGUAGUAAUUAGUCCAUUGCCACAGCACCUAUAAUCUAAAAAGUGGUCGC